rnacentral:rRNA from 1 species
GAUUUAAGAAGAUCUAAAUAAUAAUAGUUAUUAGACAAGAAGAAAUGUUACAAAUAUUAUAAAAAAUUUUUAUUUAGGGGUGAGACGCUUUCAAUUCUUAGGGUAACUGGAUUUAAUUUAAAUGCAUUAAGUGCAGGAUUUAUUUCUGACUUUCGAAGUGUUAAGAAUUUGAAAGAAAUCUUUAAGUUAAUUUUUUUUAAUUAAUAAGGAAUAACUUUCUUAAUUAUUUUAUAACAAUAAUUUUUAUUUAAUAAUUUAAAAAGAAUAAAUUAAAAUUUUAAAAAACUUUUUAUAAUAUUUAUAAUGUUUAAAUAAGUAUUGACAAGAAAAAUCCUUUUAAGGAACUCGGCAAAAAAGAUUUUCGACUGUUUAACAAAAACAUAGCUUUAUGAAUGAUUUAUUAUACAUAUAAAGUUUCUUCUGCCCAGUGAAAUUUUAACGGCCGCAGUACCUUGACUGUGCUAAGGUAGCAUAAUAAAUUGGCUUUUAAUUGAAGUCUUGAAUCAACGGAUGGACGAAAAGAAGCUGUCUUAAAAGGAUUUAUUAAAAAUUAAUUUAAAAGGUGAAAAAGCCUUUAUUUUUUUAUAGACAAGAAGACCCUUAGAAUUUUUUUAAAAGAGAACUAUUCAUAUAUAGUUAUAUUAUUAUAUAUUAUUAUAAAUGUGUUUUUCCUAUUUUGUUGGGGCGACAGGGUAACAGAUGUUAACUUACCUUGGUUAUUAUAGUACAUAUCAGAUUAUAAAAGUCUAGAGUAAAUUACCUAAGGGAUAACAGCAUAAUUAUAAAAAUUGUUUGUGACCUCGAUGUUGGAUUAGGAUAACAUAAAACUAGCCGUUUUAUUGUUUAGUUCUGUUCGAACUUCUUUUCCUACAUGAUCUGAGUUCAGACCGGCGUAAGCCAGGUCAG